CAAGUCGAACGGUGAAGGUCAGCUUGCUGACCGGAUCAGUGGCGAACGGGUGAGUAACACGUGAGCAACCUGCCCUCCACUCUGGGAUAAGCCUUGGAAACGAGGUCUAAUACUGGAUACGAGACGCCCGGGCAUCCGGAGUGUCUGGAAAGAUUUAUCGGUGGGGGAUGGGCUCGCGGCCUAUCAGCUUGUUGGUGGGGUGAUGGCCUACCAAGGCGACGACGGGUAGCCGGCCUGAGAGGGCGACCGGCCACACUGGGACUGAGACACGGCCCAGACUCCUACGGGAGGCAGCAGUGGGGAAUAUUGCACAAUGGGCGCAAGCCUGAUGCAGCGACGCCGCGUGAGGGAUGACGGCCUUCGGGUUGUAAACCUCUUUCAGCAGGGAAGAAGCGCAAGUGACGGUACCUGCAGAAGAAGCGCCGGCUAACUACGUGCCAGCAGCCGCGGUAAUACGUAGGGCGCAAGCGUUGUCCGGAAUUAUUGGGCGUAAAGAGCUCGUAGGCGGUCUGUCGCGUCUGCUGUGAAAACCUCAGGCUCAACCUGGGGCUUGCAGUGGGUACGGGCAGACUAGAGUGCGGUAGGGGUGACUGGAAUUCCUGGUGUAGCGGUGGAAUGCGCAGAUAUCAGGAGGAACACCGAUGGCGAAGGCAGGUCACUGGGCCGCAACUGACGCUGAGGAGCGAAAGCAUGGGGAGCGAACAGGAUUAGAUACCCUGGUAGUCCAUGCCGUAAACGUUGGGCACUAGGUGUGGGGUCCAUUCCACGGAUUCCGUGCCGCAGCAAACGCAUUAAGUGCCCCGCCUGGGGGAGUACGGCCGCAAGGCUAAAACUCAAAGAAAUUUGACGGGGGGCCCGCACAAGCGGCCGGAGCAUGCCGGAUUAAUUUCGAUGCAACGCGAAAGAACCUUUACCAAGGGCUUGACAUG
rnacentral:rRNA from 1 species